GUAAGUUAGAGGCAGAACCUCUAAAGUUGACAUAUAAACUAGCACUAAGGAAGUGGAACCGAAGAACUGGUACAAACAGACUAUCGCACAAAUGAAUAUUACUGUCUGACAAUCAAAUAGUCUCUCGCCUACGCAUAGCAAGAGGGUCUAUUCUCUCAUGAGACAGUCUUAUGACACCAACAACCAGAGACCAGACUGGACUAUUAUCGUGUAAGUUUACUGACAAAUAAGCAAGAUAUUUACGAGCAUAAUUGUGUAUUAAACGUAAAGCAUUUCAUAUAAUUUAUAUAAGUAUCACAGAGUAACAAAUUACAGUUUAGCAACUUUUCAGAAUAUAUUUCUAACUAUGUAUCCAGUUAUUUUGCCACAGUGUUCAACCA
rnacentral:lncRNA from 1 species